CAUUAAGUGGGCCGUCUAAAGAGUGCUCAGAGAAAACUUAAAUUCUGCCGUUUGGUUUGUAAUUGUGGCCCUAGGCUUGGUGGGAGACAGCAUCAGGAACUCAUCGCUAAGUUUCUCUUGCCUAAAAAGACAACUGUGAGCCUUGGUAACUUUGUUGAUGUCAAGGUGAGAGAGCAAGAAGAAGGAAAUAACAACAAAACUGGCAAGGAAAGCAAUGCGAGGCUGAGAAAAUGUCCUGCAACCCUCCAAACACAUCCAUGGCCCUCCUCUGGACCCACACCAACAGCUCUGCAUCCUUCUUGUCCAAAGGACCCCAUGUCUGGACACAGCACUCCAGUUAUGGGGCCUUACAAUGAUAGUACUAAGGGGGAUGAUCCCCCUCCCUUGCCCUGCUGCUACUCUCUUGUUGCAGCCCAGGAGACCACUGGCCCUUCCAAGCUGCAAGCACAAGCUACUGGCCUAUGUCCAGUUUUUCAUCCAUAAGAAUCCCCAAGGAUAGUAUUUGAGAUAUAAGUAAAACUAUCAUUCUAUUGAAUCCAUCAAAUCUGCUAUGUUCUGCCAGCAUGUAUGCACAGACAUGAGAGAAUCAGGUGAAUCUGCUGCAGUAACAAGUAGCUCAUUAACUCCUUAUGGGAUCCAAAGAAGUCUAAGCUACUCAGAAAGAUGCUCAGAAAGCACCAAUAAAGGGCAAAAACAAAUUGAGCAAAACGUGACAUCUGCUUAGUGCUGACAAACAUGUAUAAUAGAAUCCACUUGAUAAUUUCACUGUCAUGCAUGUGUUUAUACUGACUUGUACUGUCUGGUUUCUUGUUUCUUAAACUAUUCUUAAACUUGUUUCUUAAACUAUAAACAAAUGCACGCAAAGGUUUU